AGCGAACGUUAGCGGCGCGCCUAACACAUGCAAGUCGCACGAGAAACGGAGCAAUCCGCGGUACAGUGGCGCACGGGUGAGUAACACGUGGAUGACCUUCCCUGGAGUGGUGGAUAACCUGCCGAAAGGCGGGCUAAUACAGCAUGGGACCACGACGCUUUGGCGAUGUGGUGAAAGCGGGCCUCUAUAUAUAAGCUCGCGCUCCGGGACGGGUCCGCGUCCCAUCAGCUAGUUGGUGAGGUAACGGCUCACCAAGGCAACGACGGGUAGCUGGUCUGAGAGGAUGGCCAGCCACACUGGAACUGAGACACGGUCCAGACUCCUACGGGAGGCAGCAGUGGGGAAUAUUGGACAAUGGGGGAAACCCUGAUCCAGCUACGCCGCGUGGGUGAUGAAGGCC
rnacentral:rRNA from 1 species